rnacentral:lncRNA from 1 species
AAAAAAAAAAAAGCGUUGUAAAUAUCUGGAAAAAUUAAACAAAGAAUUGAAACUUACACUCUAGGAUACCGUUUGGUUCGGAUAUAAGCAAGAACUAGCUAUUACAGGGAUAGGUACAAGUAUGGGGAUAAGAAAAAUAGUAUUUGGAUGAAAAUUGAGUUGUUUAAGAAUAAUUUUAGAUGGUUUUAUAUAGAAAAUAGAGGUGUUGGCGGAGAUAACCGAGAACUAUUAUUCUCGGGUAAAAAAUUAGCGUUUGGAUAUAAAAGAGGGAUAAGGGCUUAUUUCUAUCCCUAUCCCCUAACCAAACGCUGCCCGAGCAUUUGGCUUAGAUAUAAGAAGCUAGAAUAAAUUCUUAUUCCCCUAUUGUUUCCAGAAAAAUAUUUUUAACACAAGAACGGUAAAUUUUGUACCCUUGAAAAAAGAUGGUAUAAUCUGGUAUAACUUUGGAACAGCUGUUCCGCCCUCUCUCCCUGAAACGAGCUUGUUCUCAAGCGGGAAUAAGAUUAAUAAAAAUCUAAUCUAAUUUUAAUUAUAGUAUUAAAUUAUUAUUAAUCUAAUUAAUAUAUUAAGUCAUUAUCUAUUGCUUAAAUAUUGCUUAAAUAGUAAAGUAAUUAAUUAAUUUAUUAUUUAUCAUAAAUUAACUAAUUAAAAUUAAUAUUCUAAUCAAUUUAUUCAAUAACCAAUAUAUUUAUAUUAAACAACCAUUAAUAUUUAUUUUUAACUGAUUAUCUAAAUAAAAUAAUUUACUAACUAAUUAAAAAGUUAUGUUAUUUCUAUAAUUAACAAAUUAAUUAGUUAAUGUAUUGAAUUAUUAAUUUAUUGAUUGAUUAUAAUAUUCAUAGCUAAUAAAUUUAUUAAUUUAUUUAAUUAUUUUUAAUUAAUAUUUUGAUAUUAAUUAAUUAGAUAAACUAUUUUUAAUUUAAAUUUAUAACUCUUAUUCCCCUGCGCUAAUCUAACCAUCUAAAUAUUAUUUACUUUAUUCCGAAAAUAAUCUAAUUUUCAUUCAAAUAUAAAAUUAAUCUAAUUUCUGCUUAUAUCUUAACUUGUAUCUAUACCAUUAAAUUAAUGAGGGUUUGGAAAUUAAAACAUACUGUGUAGAACUCUAAAAUUCAUGGCAGCCAAAUAUAUCUAUUUUCAGCAUACUGUGAAUUGAGCUGCAAUUAAUACUUUUAAAAAUAUCCAGUCAGUCAUUAGUGCUUGUAGGCUUUUUUGGCACUUAAAUGAAAAAAUGUGCUAUUUUGAUAAUAGUUAUCCCCUAGUGUUGACUGAGUGGAUGGUGAAAUAGUAUAAUCUAACAGUGAGAAAUUUAUAAGCACCAAGUGUUUAAUAAUUUUAAAAGCACCGUAGUCGGACCCGCAAACUAUUUCUAAUAUUUGUAUCUAGCAUAUUAUAUUACAUAAUUCAUCAAAAAAUAAUUUAAAUAAUUUUAAACAUAUGAUAAUUGAAUAAUCUAAAUUUUAAAGUUUUCAAAACAUUAA